UGAAUUAGCGGCGAACGGGUGAGGAACACGUGAGGAAUCUGCCUUCAACUCUGGGAUAACUCCGGGAAACCGGGGCUAAUACCGGAUAUGAGCCUUGAUCGCAUGAUCGGGGCUGGAAAGUUUUUCGGUUGAAGAUGACCUCGCGGCCUAUCAGCUUGUUGGUGAGGUAAUGGCUCACCAAGGCGACGACAGGUAGCCGGCCUGAGAGGGCGACCGGCCACACUGGGACUGAGACACGGCCCAGACUCCUACGGGAGGCAGCAGUGGGGAAUAUUGGGCAAUGGAGGAAACUCUGACCCAGCCACCCCGCGUGCGGGAUGAAGGCCUUCGGGUUGUAAACCGCUUUCAGUAGGGAAGAAGCGAAAGUGACGGUACCUACAAAAGAAGCACCGGCUAACUAUGUGCCAGC
rnacentral:rRNA from 1 species